AAAAUCCGUCGACUUUAGAAAUCGUGAGGGUUCAAGUCCCUCUAUCCCCCUCAAAAAGGGCCCGUUUGA
rnacentral:tRNA from 10 species